rnacentral:rRNA from 1 species
GUGCCAGCCGCCGCGGUAAUACAGAGGUCCCAAGCGUUGUUCGGAUUCACUGGGCGUAAAGGGUGCGUAGGUGGUGAGGUAAGUCGGAUGUGAAAUCUCCGGGCUCAACCCGGAAAUGGCAUUGGAAACUACCUUGCUUGAGGAUUUGAGGGGGGAUCGGAACACUUGGUGUAGCAGUGAAAUGCGUAGAUAUCAAGUGGAACACCAGUGGCGAAGGCGAAUCCCUGGAAAAUACCUGACACUGAGGCACGAAAGCUAGGGGAGCAAGCAGGAUUAGAAACCCGCGUAGUCC